GCUUUGGGAGUUCAGUGGUAGAAUUCUCGCUUUCCAUGCAGGAGACCUGGGUUCAAUUCCCGGCUGUUGAA
rnacentral:tRNA from 1 species